GGUGGCUCAGUGGUAAAGUACUUGCCUUGCAUGCAUGAGGCCCUGGGUUCGAUUCCUCAGCACCA
rfam:Dipodomys ordii contig_31135, whole genome shotgun sequence.